UGCCAUGAGCUAGGAUUGAAAGCUUGAUGAAUGGUUAAAACUGUGAUUACGACAAGAAAUCUCAAAUCAUUUGAAGCGAUAAAUGGAGUCUCAUCUCUUCCGUGAUAAUAAAAGUAUAGGUUCAUUCAGGAAGUGUCAAACAUGCGAUGGUCUUUCCGUCAGGAAAAGCGCCAACACUGGAAUAAUUAUGCAAUCAUUUUGUAUUCAGAGUAAAAGGACUUGAUCAGCAGUAGAAUUUUGACAGUAGGAUUGUAAUAUAAAUCAGGAUAAGACUAUCAAUCCCUUUUCUUGAAACACAUAGGAUACUUGUGAUAUUAGGCUUGGGAGAAUCUCCUCACGUUUGUGCUGGGGUCCUCCUUUUGUCUUAUCAGUAGUUGUGUUGGUUUGUGCAGCACUCCCGACACACGGCUUCCACCUUCAGGUGCCAUGUAGUUGUGUUGGUUUGUGCAGCACUCCCGACACACGGCUUCCACCUUCAGGUGCCAUGUAGUUGUGUUGGUUUGUGCAGCACUCCCGACACACGGCUUCCACCUUCAGGUGCCAUGUAGUUGUGUUGGUUUGUGCAGCACUCCCGACACACGGCUUCCACCUUCAGGUGCCGUGUAGUUGUGUUGGUUUGUGCAGCACUCCCGACACACGGCUUCCACCUUCAGGUGCUUUGUAGUUGUGACUGUAGUUCCCUGGUUGCUGGUACAGGUUAUGGACUCAAUGCUUGAUAUUUGUGCUAAGGAUUGAUUCAGCAGUCAAGGAUUGAUUCAGCAGUCAAGGAUUGAUGCAGCAGUCAAGGAUUGAUUCAGCAGUCAAGGAUUGAUGCAGCAGUCAAGGAUUGAUGCAGCAGUCAAGGAUUGAUAUAGCAGUCAAGGUGCUUCAGAUCUUGCAACCAGCUCAAGUGUGACAUUCUUCAGACAGAUCAUGCUGGUUUAUGCUCUUCUGGCCAAUGUUCAAUGUUCUCUAGACAGCUGUUGAAUGUUCUCCAGACCACUGUUGAAUGUUCUUCAGGUGGCUGUUAAAUGUUCUCCAGACUGCUGUUAAAUGUUCUCCAGACUGCUGUUGAAUGUUCUUCAGACUGCUGUUGGAUGUUCUCCAGACCACUGUUGGAUGUUCUUAAGACUGCUGUUGAAUGUUCUCCAGACUGCUGUUGAAUGUUCUCCAGACUGCUGUUGAAUGUUCUCCAGAUCACUGUUGAAUGUUCUUAAGACUGCUGUUGAAUGUUCUUAAGACUGCUGUUGAAUGUUCUCCAGACUGCUGUUGAAUGUUCUCCAGACUGCUGUUGGAUGUUCUUCAGACCACUGUUGAAUGUUUUCCAGACCACUGUUGAAUGUUCUCCAGACCACUGUUGAAUGUUCUUAAGACUGCUGUUGAAUGUUCUCCAGACUGCUAUUGAAUGUUCUCCAGACCGCUGUUGAAUGUUCUCCAGACCGCUGUUGAAUGUUCUCCAGACCACUGUUGAAUGUUCAUCCCAUACUGGUUGAUGGUGUUCAGAUGAGGUCAUGUGUUUAUGACAAGUGUUCUCACCACUGAUCCAUGUGUGCAAGACACUCUGUACAAGGAUAAGCUGAAGGAUUGGUGAGAUGGCAUCAAUGGGCUAUCGUGUUGUCAAUGGGCUAUCGUAUUUUCCCUGCUCAGUGCUAAACAUUCUGUCUCUCCGUCGCUUUGUGGACCCCAGCAGCUCCGUGUCCUUGUUGACCAUAUGCAGUCCUGUUUUGUCCAGGAUUUCCAGGACGAUGAUGAGUACCAGGAGUAUUGGGGAGUAGCACCUUGUGAAGACGUUACACUUGGAGUGGUUCCACUUAGGAGUAUCAGAAAUAUGUUCAUGUAGGAAAUAUAGGAUUGUGAAUAUGUACCAUACUUACUUGGGGAUCAGAAUUGUGAAUAGGUGGCACAUGGACUAUCAGGAUUGUGAAUAGGUGGCACAUGGAAUAUCAGGAUUGUGAAUAGGUGGCACAUGGAAUAUCAGGAUUGUGAAUAGGUGGCACAUGGACUAUCAGGAUUGUGAAUAGGUGGCACAUGGAAUAUCAGGAUUGUGAAUAGGUGGCACAUGGAAUAUCAGGAUUGUGAAUAGGUGGCACAUGGAAUAUCAGGAUUGUGACUAGUUGGCACAUGGAAUAUCAGAAAUACGGAUAGGUGCCAUAUGAAUAGUAUCUGGAUUGUGAAUAGGACGGGGGAAGUGGACAACCACAAGUGCUGUAUGUUCAGUGGAAUCCUGUGGAAUCCUGUAAACUCCUCCUGUACUUUCUGGGAACUAGUCGUCCAUUGCUAGAUGUGUUAUUGCCAAUAAUAUAACUAUUUUACAUGUGAGCUUGAUCUGUCCAGGUAAGUGUUGCUUUUUCAGAAUGUUUUUUCCAUUUUUGUGUGAAAUAUAUCUUACAUAUUUUGAAAUGAAAGUUAUUGUACAGUACAUUUUGAGUGAUUUUCAAUCUAAGACAUGGCAUUCUAUUUUCUCCCUCAACUUGUACAUACUGACUUGCUGCACCUAUGACUGCCAGCACCUGCCUAAUGGCUGCUUGUGACCCAGUGAUGUGUGUGAACAGUGUGCAUGCUCUCUCAAACAUUACUUCAAUCUGCACAGUCAAUAUUUUCAGUCACAUUUCACCUUCAUACACAAGUCGCAUUCUUCCAACAAUUUGCCUCUGAGAAUUCUGAUUCUAAAGAAACAGGACCUAAUGUUUCGCAGUUAUUAGACUCUAUUCCAAACAAACAUAGGACAAGUCUGGUGGUGGAGUAGACUGUGUAGAUUCCAGAAUACUGUAUAUUUUCAUAAAUAUGAUAUGUCUUUGUGUGUGUAGUGAUGGGGACCCUGUGUACCCAAGCGAGCAGCGCCAGCAGGGCUUCUCUCCACCUGCCGUAACCAUAUCUCUGUGCUGCUGUAUAAACAAUAUUGAUACUGACUUGGCGCUACACCGAGCUACAGGCCACAGUGUUUUCAGGACAGCUCAGCUACUCUCUUGUGUACGAUGGGCAAGCUAUCCAUAUCUCCAAACUACAUCAAAUAUAUCAUGGGCUUUGAUUAUAGGACUGACGUAUUAUUGGAACAUUAGAUUUCUAACCAACUUGCAUGCUCCUCAUAUUGCUGAACCAUAUAUGUAUGUAUACACGUAUGUAUGUGUGUAUGUAUACCAGGCUGCCAUCAAGGUAUAUCAUGUAUCUGGUGAAAACAUUCAGAGCUAGUUGUGCCCUGAUAGUCCAGAGAUGUGGAGGUGUGUGCUCCUAGGGUUGACCAGGGACAAUUACACCCACCCUCCUCACAUGCUCCUAGGGUUGACCAGGGACAAUUACACCCACCCUCCUUACAUGCUCCUAGGGUUGACCAGGGACAAUUACACCCACCCUCCUCGCAUGUUCCUAGGGUUGACCAGGGACAAUUACACCCAUCCUCCUGACAUGCUCCUAGGGUUGACCAGGGACAAUUACACCCAUCCUCCUGACAUGCUCCUAGGGUUGACCAGGGACAAUUACACCCACCCUCCUGACAUGCUCCUAGGGUUGACCAGGGACAAUUACACCCAUCCUCCUGACAUGCUCCUAGGGUUGACCAGGGACAAUUACACCCAUCCUCCUGACAUGCUCCUAGGGUUGACCAGGGACAAUUACACCCACCCUCCUGACAUGCUCCUAGGGUUGACCAGGGACAAUUACACCCACCCUCCUGACAUGCUCCUAGGGUUGACCAGGGACAAUUACACCCACCCUCCUUACAUGCUCCUAGGGUUGACCAGGGACAAUUACACCCACCCUCCUGACAUGCUCCUAGGGUUGACCAGGGACAAUUACACCCACCCUCCUGACAUGCUCCUAGGGUUGACCAGGGACAAUUACACCCACCCUCCUCACAUGCUCCUAGGGUUGACCAGGGACAA
rnacentral:lncRNA from 1 species